rnacentral:rRNA from 1 species
GCCGCCCGCUUUCUUCUUGCCUAAUACAUGCCAGUCGAGCGAACAGACGAGGAGCUUGCUCCUCUGACGUUAGCGGCGGACGGGUGAGUAACACGUGGAUAACCUACCUAUAAGACUGGGAUAACUUCGGGAAACCGGAGCUAAUACCGGAUAAUAUAUUGAACCGCAUGGUUCAAUAGUGAAAGACGGUUUUGCUGUCACUUAUAGAUGGAUCCGCGCCGCAUUAGCUAGUUGGUAAGGUAACGGCUUACCAAGGCAACGAUGCGUAGCCGACCUGAGAGGGUGAUCGGCCACACUGGAACUGAGACACGGUCCAGACUCCUACGGGAGGCAGCUGUAGGGAAUCUUCCGCAAUGGGCGAAAGCCUGACGGAGCAACGCCGCGUGAGUGAUGAAGGUCUUCGGAUCGUAAAACUCUGUUAUUAGGGAAGAACAAAUGUGUAAGUAACUAUGCACGUCUUGACGGUACCUAAUCAGAAAGCCACGGCUAACUACGUG